rnacentral:rRNA from 1 species
UACGUAGGGUGCGAGCGUUGUCCGGAAUUAUUGGGCGUAAAGGGCUCGUAGGCGGUUUGUCGCGUCGGGAGUGAAAUCCACUGGCUUAACUGGUGGCUUGCUUUCGAUACGGGCAGACUGGAGGUAUGCAGGGGAGAACGGAAUUCCUGGUGUAGCGGUGAAAUGCGCAGAUAUCAGGAGGAACACCGAUAGCGAAGGCAGCUCGCUGGGACGGUACUGACGCUGAGGCGCGAAAGCGUGGGGAGCGAACAGG